rnacentral:lncRNA from 10 species
ACUUCCACGGGACCCACCAGCUUAAAUGCCGGCAGCCCUGGGACUUCUGGCCUCACAAUGGUUGAGGAGAAGGGCAUGCUCAGGCCAGCCCAUUAGCCCAGGAGGAGGACAAGAAACACACGGAGCAGACACAAGCCACCUCACCAACCCAGCCAAGGCUGUCCUGAAUUAGCAACCCUGACACGUGUGAGCAAGUCCAACGGACACCGGAAGAUCCACCUAGUCAAGCCCAACCAAGACUGGCAGAGCUGCCAAGCUGACCACUUAAGGCGCAUGAGGAAUAAACACUCGUUGCUGCAUGCCAUUGCAGUUUUGUGAUUUUUGUUAUGCAGCAUUAUUGUGGCCAUGACAGCAGAUACACAUAGAGAGACAACAGGACACCCAGGAGCCCACAUGGGAUACACUGUCUCUUACCUCCCCUGACCCUGUCAUCACGUCACUCUUCUCCCCUUAGCCUCAUCUGCUUCCCACCCAGAGGCAAAUGGUUCUACUCCCAGGCCUGCAUCCCUGGGUCAUUGCAUUUUUCUCUGGAUAACACUUUCGUGGAACAACAACUCAUUAGCAACAGCUCUUCUAGCUUCAAUUCAGCUGAAUGGCCUAAGAUCACAAUGAUAUGUAUGGCUGGAGGGAAUCCAUCAAAAUGGCCUGUAAAAGCAACUCCAUGACAUCUUGGGAAGCACUGGCCCCAGCAGUAUCAAAGGAAGAGGUGUUGAGGCAAGGGUGUCUGGGAAGUGGAGGACCCACUUUCUACCAUGUGGCCUUUCUCCGGACUGCACUCAUAUAAGAUUAUGUGUCUAGGAGUGGAUGAUGAUGAUGAUGAUGAUGAUAACCAUGAUUCCUCUGGGAGAAAGGAUCCUGGCCAUCAAAGCUUCCCAAAGACAGGAGAUUGGGGCACAAAGUGAACCUCUCUAGUUUAUUCAUCUUUUAGAAUUACAUUAUGUGCUUAAAACUGUGCCUUGCACAAACCCCAAAAGUCUUUGCUGAAUGAAUGCUGCACAAACAAAUGUAGAGUCGAGACUGGGACUAAUUAUAGGCUCUUGCAUAAGUUAGAUCAUAUUUCACCCCCUCCUUGGGGGCAGUGUUCAUCUCACCUUUCCCUUAGUAAGUCCAUCAUGGGGAUCUGCCAGUGAACCAGCUGUCUCUGGGGUCAUGUGCUUGCAUAGUAAAGGGACACAGCUCAUGGUACAGAAGGAAGAAGUCCUGUUUCUCUGGUUCUCACCCAGAUGCUCAGACCAUCCUGACAGCAUGUCCCCCCACCCCUGCACAGCCUUGGGAACACUGAUUGUAUUAGUGUCCAUUGGUAUGAACCUGACCUCCGCAAAAUCAGUAACAACUCCAUAAGUGAAUGAAUGAAUGAAUAAGUUCUAGCUUUGUCCCCUUUAUUCAAGUUUACUAUAGAUACUCCCCCCAACUCUUAAAACAAAAAUGACAGUGACCUACCUCGGU